AGCAUUAAGCUCAUUCCAGAUUCAGAGUUUUUAAUGGCCAGUUUGGUAACAUCAGAGGAUGAAAUAAGUCAUGACAGAAACAUUUUUGUGAAAGACGUCUCAGAAAUUCCUGAGUUAAAUCAGGUACCAUCAUGCUUGUGGGCACAACACAAGUAUGAUGUAGGAUUAAUCAAAGAUGCUGAGCCUGUAGUAAUCACACCAAAAUCUUCAUACAGGCCAUGUCAGAACCAGUAUCCUUUGAAGAAGGAAGCUGUUGAUGGUAUUAAACCGGUGUUUGAUUCUCUUUUAAAAGCAGGAGUGAUUAUUCCAUGCGCAAAUUCUCCAGUCCGAACACCUAUUUUCCCCGUACGGAAACUCCGGGACGCCGGAGAGCCACAACAUUGGAGAUUCGUGCAGGACUUGCAGGCGCAUCCCAGUGGAUCCUGACAGCCAGUAUUGGUUUGCAUUUUCUUUUUAAGGUAAGAGUUUUACAUUCACCAGACUCAUCCAAGGGUAUUUGGAGAGUCCUGGAAUCUUUAACGAUGCGUUAAAAAAAACAAUUUGGAAAUGUUGAGAUUGACAGAAGGAAGUGCGCUGCUACAAUAUGUAGAUGACCUUAUGAUCUGCUCAAAAAACAAGAGAAGCUUGUGUAAAAGACACACUAGCUCUGCUCAAUCGCCUUGCAGAUAUUGUACAUGGGAAAGGUCUUGCAGCAAAAGACAAAGUCCACUGGACACCAGAAGCAGAGAAGGCUGUGGCGGCUGCAGAGAAAGCUGUUAUAGCCUCACGUGACAUUGUGGGUUGCGCUGAUCUGACAUUGUUGGUUCCACAUGCUGUCUCAAUGAUAUUGCUUGAACAGAAAACAUCACAUCUCUCAACAGCCAGGUGGUUAAGAUACAACACCAUAUUGCUUGAAAUGCCUAAUAUCACUGUUAAGAGAUGUACAGUGCUUAACCCAGCAACUCUCCUCCCUACAGCGGCAGACGGUGAACCUCACGAUUGUGUGGCAGUGAUAACAGAGACUUGCUCCCCCAGACCAGAUCUGCAGGAAACACCAUUGAUCAAUCCAGAGCUGGAGCUGUUUGUUGACGGUUCAGCAUCACGAGAUCCAGCAACUGGUAAAAAUCUUGCAGGGUUUGCAGUAACAACAUUGUAUGAAACAAUUCUGGCUAAACCACUCCCAUCAAAUUACUCAGCACAGGCAGCAGAGUUAGUUGCAUUAACGGAAGCAUGUAAAUGUGCUAAUGACCAAACUGUGAACAUUUUCACAGAUAGCAGAUAUGCAUGGGGAAUGGCGCAUGAUUUUGGAAAACUCUGGGCAAACAGAAACUUCCUUACAUCCACAGCCAAACCCAUUGCACAUCACACACUGGUUGCUGAACUCUUGGAUGCUGUGCUGUUGCCUAAGCAGAUUGCCAUUUGUAAAUGUGAAGCACACACUAACAACCUUGAUCCUAUCUCACAGGGGAAUGCCAGAGCGGAUAACAACAAACACCGACCACUUGAUGUGUUGCACUAACUAAUGAACCUCUGACACCUACAGCUGAUCUGCAGGGACUGCAGACAAGAGCAACGGCAGAGGAAAAAGCAGUGUGGCGAAAGGCAGGCUGCACUGUCACAGACAAAGUGUGGUAUGGACCAAGUGACAGACCAUGCUUACCGAAGUAUCUGUUCCAUAAUUAUGUUGUGUUGACCCAUGGGCGAGACCAUGGGUCAAAGAGGAGCAUGGUGCUGGAGCGGAACAGAUGCUGGUUCGCAAAGGGAUUUAAUAACUUCUCUCAAAAAUUUUAUUUUGCCAAAAAUGCAGAUGGAUUUCAUUGAGCUGACACCCAGUGAGGGAAAGAAAUAUUGUUUGGUCAUUGUUGACAUGUUCUCUAAAUGGGUAGAGGCCAAACAGGAUUCAGCAGCAGUAGCAAGGAGUCUUAUGCGAGAUAUCAUCCCCUGCUGGGAUAUUCCAGAUAAGAUCUCCAGUGAUAACGGUACACCUUUCAUGAGCGCAGCAUUGAAGAGUGUAGGAGAGUAUCUUGGUAUUGAUUUAAAACAUCAUUGUGCUUAUCACCCAGCCAGCGCAGGAGCCGUGGAGAGGGAGAACAGUUCUCUGAAAAACAAGCUUGCUAAGUGUUGUGAUGAGACAGGGCUGCCCUGGACAAAAGCACUCCCCAUUGUUCUGAUGUACAUGAGGUCCAGGAUAAGAAGCAGGGGGGGUCUCAGUCCUUUUGAAAUCCUAUUUGGCAGGCCAUUGAACACUGGUAUUGGGCCAGUGAAAAGACAACUUCCUGACACCAGCCAAUGUGAGGAGGAUGAGAUGCUACGCUAUUGCACAAACUUGUCCACUGUGCUUUCUGAUAUUCAC